AAGUUUUCCAGAUUCAAAGGUAUUUUCUAGAUUGCUCUUAGAUAUCUAACAGGCUCUAAAGAAUGUUUUGCAGUUCACUGAAAAAUAUGAAAAAAGAGCAUAUCCUUCUGGCGCGUGCUUCAGUGGCACACACAGGUGAAUCCCCACGCUGCCUAAGCCUUUGAGAGGGAGGCAGCCUCUAAGGCAGAGCAGCCUGAAGAGUGAGGGGAACGUUCGUGCGCCAAGCCUAGUGACUCCUUUGGACAUCCUAUAUAGCUCCAGAUGGAUUCCCCGGAGUCAUAACUUCUGUCUACACAGUCACUAUCACUGGAAAGAGAUGUCCAAGAAUGUUAGCCACCUAGAGGGGAUCCAAAUUUAUUGAGAAGGGUUUAGAAAUUAAAUAUCACCAGCCUGGAUGAUACUUAACAGAGAGGGUGAAUCUAAGAGGUCCUGGGCCUUCCUGAACUCAGGAAGUCGGCUAAGCUCGGAGAGAAUCCACCUCGACCAUCAGUCUGAUAAUGUCUACGCUGAUCUCCAAUGGCUUCUCCUUAGUCCUUAGCAAGAAACGUUUAGAGUCAUGUUCCUACAGUUCCAUUUACAAAAGGUGCGUCUGGGGAAAAGAGCAUUCAGGCAGAGGAACAGCAAAAAGAAAUUUUCAAGGAAGUCAGCUGUCAUGUUAUAAGAAACCCUACUGAGAGGUCCACACGGGCAGAAACUGAGGCUUCCCACCAGUAGCCAGCAGAGUUUGCCCGCCAUGUGAGUGUGCCAUCUUGAAAGUGGAUCCUCCAGUCUCAGUCAAGCCUUCACACGAUUGCAGCCCCAGCCAACAUCUUAACUGCAGCCUUAUAAAAGAUCCGGAAUGAGAACUAACAAGCUAAGACACUUCUGAAUUCUUGAGCCCCAGAUAUUGUGAAAUCAUUCAUGUUUUAUUAUUUAAGCCACUAAGUUUUGGGGGUAAUUUGUUAUGCAGCAAUAGACAACUGUUAUAGAAUGAGAAAAGAUAUCACAAUAAACCAUUUAUUUCUUAAAAAGCUGACAAAUAUCACAGACAUGACACAAAUCCAGGAAAAUAACAUAAUACUCUUCUUUAAUUAACUGUCUUGUACACUGCCGUACUAUCUUUUUUCCUAUAGUUUUUGUGUGCAAACUCUUUGAGGAGUUAAUCUUCUCUAGCAUGGUUGAUCAAAUUUUUUAUUCCUGAUAGCUUUUAU
rnacentral:lncRNA from 1 species